CGAUCGAACAGGAGAAAGGAAAAAGGGGGUGUGAACCCUAAACCUCAAGAAAUCAUCAAAUUGAAAAGGGAAUCAAGGGCUGAUUGUAUGCACGAACCAAGGAUGAUGAUCCCUUAAGCAUUUCUAACAUCAACGUAGGAGCCAUGUCAACAUGGACACGAGCAUGGAAGGGCAAUGGGUCAACGGUAAAUACGGAAGCUAUGCAUGAACUCGGACGCACGAGGUAGCGUUAGUUAAUUGAGCAUGGUGAUGAUUGAAGUUUGAUAUGGUUUUGGUUGUAUGAAAUCGGUUAUUUUAGCUAAGUAGACCGAACGGGACAAUAUAAAGUUGUAAUGAUAUGACAGAUUGAUGUAAUGCUAUGGUAUUGUAACCGGGUAAUGGGUAGAAUUGCACAUAAGUGCGCCAACCUAGAAUGGGGACUUAGGUUAAUGGUCAAAAGACUUAGCUUUUGACCUUAAAUAAAAGAAUGGUUUAACAAAAUACGAACAGGUCGAAUAAAUGUCCAUAAACUUCAUAAUGCUAAUGAAAUGCGUAAAGAUUAAGGACCCGGGUAAGGGCGUUUAGCCCAUAAUGUAAGGACAAGUCUUACGGACAACUAGAAAUAAUUGUGAGCAAUUUGAUUGAGGAAUGUCCGAGAUACGCAAGUUUUAAUAAUAAAAAUAUGAAUGGGUUGAAUAGUCGAAACGAGUAUGUAGAGCCGAAGGCUUUAAGUUAAGAUUUUUCCUUGUUUGGAUGUUAUAUUACAAGCUCAUAUUAGAAAAUCGAUUUACCAACGCAUAGGAAAAAGAAUCAUGUUAAUCGGAUUCGUAGAUCAAAAGUUAUGCAAAUUGUAAGUCGAAAAUACCCUUGGAAUUCAUAGCUGGGAAUUUACAGCAGCAAAUUGGAAGUUUCUGUCGAAAUAGAGCUGUCGCGCCCCGCGAGCGCCAGUCAGCUGGCAAAUUUUGGUUUUCUUGUUUGAUUUUGCAUCCGGACUCGAUGUUUUAAUGAUUUUCGAUGUCCCUUAACUUAUAUUAAAGCCGGUUUGAAACACGAGUGAUGUUAUGAGCCUCCGGAUAAUGAAAGUAUGUAUUUUUCUUCGUGUUAGAGAAGAAAGAUUAUAAGUAAUCGAGACUAGAAAUGAGUGGGCAUGCAGUAUGGUAAGUAUAAAACUUAUAUCACGGAAGUUGCGAUUAUGAUAAGAAAUGCGAGAUUAAGUGAAUAAAAGUAGUAAGCGAGGGCUCGCGUCUAUGUGUGUGUAUGUGAAUGUGUGCGUAUGUAUGUAAGUGUAUAUGUUGUAUGUAUGUAGGAAUUAGGAACGUAUACGUUUAUGGAUGCGAGAUGUUAUAAGUAUAUGAAGGAAUGGUUUGGACUGGUUUCAUUAUGUUCUAGCAUUAAUGUUUGCUAAUCGUGUGUUUGAGAUUGGAAUGAAAUGCAGGUACAUGAACACCGGGUUCAUGAAGUAUCGAAGUCGAAUUCGGAACAAGAAAAUACGAAAGGAUAGUUGAAUGAAUUAAAGUUCCUACUGUUAAAUGUUAUUCAAUAUUGGAGUAUAUGAGAAUCAUGUCGUAUGAUAUUGUUAAUGACUAAUGGUUAUGAUGUAUGCGAUGUCCACAGGUAUUGCACGGAUUACCGCUACUACUACCGAAGAUAAGCAAGCGUUGAUCGAGUCACGGAGCAAGGGUUGUACGGAAAUAUGUAUUGUCUUGAAGCGUUAAUUUAAUGUGGUUAUUGUAAAUCCCUUUUGUAAAUGUUUAUCAUUUGUAUUUGAGCCUUCAAGUAAGUAAUGUGUCUAAAUAAGAAAGAAAUUUUUGGGCUCGUAUUUUUCCGCUGUGUCAUAUUUAAGUUCUUACAAGUUGGUCUUACAGGGAAUCGUUCAUUAUACGAACGGGUCAUGCCCGAAUUUUGUAAAUAAUAAUACUUAUUUUGGAGUAAGAAAUAUGGGCGUUACAAGUUGGUAUCAGAGCCCUGGUUUGAGGGAAAUCAAGUAGAUGGAGGUAAAUACUUGAACUCAAACCCGUGUGCUCUUGUGUCAAGGAACCCGUACAAUCCAAGACUCGAUCAAGGCCUGAGGUUAAAAGCGAAUGUAAGUAUGUAUUAAAUUAUGUAUUUCAAGGAAACUAAUAGUAUGUUAUGUGAAGGGUAAGCGGAAUUUCUUGGAAGGGAUGAUAUGUGAAUGUGGUUUAGGACCGAUACCAAGGCAUGUAAUAAGACAUAUUGACCCAGGUACGUAAAUUUAGCUUAUGGGUGCAUGUAAUGGUAAAAUCUAUCAAGUGAAUGAAAAUUUUGAAUGAAAAAAAUAAUAAUAAUGGAAUAGUAAUGAAGUUUUGAAAAUAUUACACGUGCUGAAACCUAAUUCUUCGGACAUAAGGUGGCGAUUACACGAAGACGCGGAACUAGUAUGUGGAUUGCGUACCUGGCCAGUACACAAGAAACAUAUGACGUUCGUGAGACCGUGAUAAUUGUUACAGGUAUGUCCGUUAGAAUUAGGUAGUAGGUGGACGUGAGGGUGAAGGGAGAUGUAAGACUCUCAAGAAAUUGAAAGUACCUAAUACAAAAGAGAAGUAUGAAUGGCAUGUUUGAAUCCGCGAGACGGAUUCGAAACAUGAAAGGAAUGAAAAGAUAUGAAUGAUAUGUUAGAAUCCGCGAGACAGAUUCGAAACAUGAAAGGAAUGAAAAGAUAUAAAUGAUAUGUCAGAAUCCGCGAGACGGAUUUGAAAGAUGAAAGGAAUGAAAAGAUGUGAAUGAUAUGUUAGAAACCGCCAGACGGAUUCGAAACAUAGAAGGGAAUGAAUGAUAGAAUGAAAAGUUUGAAUUCGUAAGUAGGUACAAAUCAAAUAAGUAAGAAUGAAUGAUAAGAAUGAAAGGUUCAAAUUGUAAGUAAUUACAGACCAAACAAAUAAAUGAUCUUUAAAAAGCAGAUAUUAUCCAAGUUAUUUUUUAAACAUAUAUAUAUAAAUAUAUGAAUAUAUUUUGCUAAUGCGUAGUAUGCAAGAAUGGUUAAAAGGAUAAUUGAGUUAUGCAGGUCAAAAGGAGAUUGCCAUUUGCACCCGGUGUUCAACAAAGUAAGUUGAUAGUUAUUAAGCAAGUAAUAGUAAAAUAGCAUGAAAUAGUUGAUUCGCCAAGUAGAUAAACCGAUAAAAAAAUAUUGUAGUAGCAAGAAACUUUAGCCGAAAGAAAUAAGCUUUGAAAUAAGUUAUGUGUAAGACAUAUUAUAAAUUGACUCUUGGGAGUCGGGAUGAAUGAAGGCUACGACUUAGAGAAAUGAUUUAAGUAGGGACAGGAAGGGGUAAAAUCUUGCAAUUAAUAUUAAAAUGAUUAAAUAAAGUCUUUGCAAGUAUGCAAGAAUGGAAAGGAAUUCUGAACGUGUACUUUGAUACGUCUAUGAUAAGUAAGAAGUACCGGUUUGACUUUGAAAAGUCAAACUACAAAAGUUGACAAAUGAGCUAAAGAUCUGCGAAGGAAUGGUUAUAUAUUGACCUGUCAUGAACGGGUCAAACAACGAAAGAGAUAUGUUGUAAAAUGGUCAUGUAUUGGCCCGUUAUGAACGGGUCAAACGCACUAAUGUUUUAAAAGGAAUCGAGAAAGAAUUAAUAUGCAAAUAAGGUGGUGUAAUGAACAUCACGUCUGAAUGAAAUAUGUAAAACCCUAAUCUUAUAAUGAGAGUGGCAGGAAUCAGGAGGUGAUAAACCUAGCAAGGUCAGUCAAAGAAUGCUCAUGAGCGAAAGCUCAUCACACGGAUGAAAGAGGUCAAUCCGGAAAAUGGUACAAAUGGUAAUGAAGAAGACCGGUUCGCUCUUACAUGCCUAAGCACUGCGCCAAAGUAGUAAGUUUAGGGAAUUAUUAAUAUGUGAAUGUAAAAUUAUAACUAUGGUUGAAAAGUACUUCCGUACAAAAUUAUGUGGCAGAGAAUGUGUUAUGAAAAGGAAGGCUUGGCUUUUAGAAGUUAAUUAAGAUUAAGUUUCAGUUCAGGCUUAUGUAGUAAGUAGUGCGAAUGAGUAAGGAGGUAGAAAUAGAACUCCAGGGAUAAGUGAAACUAUUAAAACUAAUGCUAACAGUGAAAUGUAUUAGCAAGUUCAUAUGAAAAUCAAAUUGUUGUAAUGUAAAUUAUGAUAUUAGACUCAUUAGGUCGCUACUAGUCUGCACACACUAGUUUAAGUACGGUAAUGUAACGAGUUGAAAAUUUAAGAAGAAAUUAAUAAAGAAUGGAAUUGUAAAGUAUGAGUAGCUGACCGGUUACGAACGGGUCAAUGUGACGAAGAAAGCAUAAUGAAGAAAUUGCAAAAGUAGUGACUCGUUGUAAUAGGUCGCAG
rnacentral:lncRNA from 1 species